rfam:Helianthus annuus linkage group 4, whole genome shotgun sequence.
GAGCAGUGAUGACAAGCCUUUCAUGAUGGUUGGGUCCAUCAUAACAGCUUCUCUUUAAUGGAAGAAAAAACAGGCCCUUCUGAGCUC